UGCCAGCCGCCGCGGUAAAACGUAGGAGGCGAGCGUUAUCCGGAUUUACUGGGCGUAAAGCGCGGGCAGGCGGUGACUUAAGUCAUGCGUGAAAGCUCCCGGCUCAACCGGGAGAGGUCGUGUGAAACUGGGUCGCUAGAGGUAAGUAGAGGCAGACGGAAUUCCGGGUGGAGUGGUGAAAUGCGUAGAGAUCCGGAGGAACACCAGUGGCGAAGGCGGUCUGCUGGGCUUUACCUGACGCUCAGCCGCGAAAGCAUGGGUAGCGAACGGGAUUAGAUA
rnacentral:rRNA from 1 species